rnacentral:rRNA from 1 species
UACGGGGGGUGCGAGCGUUGUCCGGAAUCACUGGGCGUAAAGGGCGCGUAGGUGGCGUCGUAAGUCUGUGGUGAAAGCCCGGAGCUCAACUCCGGGUCUGCCGCGGAUACUGCGAGGCUUGAGUGCUGUAGAGGGGGGUAGAAUGCCGGGUGUAGCGGUGGAAUGCGUAGAGAUCGGGAAGAAUACCUGUGGCGAAGGCGGCCAGCUGGGCCAGAUCCGACACUGAGGCGCGAAAGCGUGGGGAGCAAACAGG